UAGGUACGCUUCUCUAUAUUUAUAUAUACA
rnacentral:piRNA from 1 species